rnacentral:rRNA from 1 species
GGUUAAAACGCUCGUAGUUGAUAUUCUGCUGGCAAUCCGGGGUGCGCCCCAGUGGCGAGAACUUCAGCGAAUGCUUGCAUCAUCUUAGGGAAAGGCAUUGCACUUCAGUGUGCGAUUCAGAAACUAAGUCGUUUACUUUGAGGAAAUCGGAGUGCUCCAAGCAAGUGUAGGCUUUGAACAUUGUAGCAUGGAAUAAUCUCACGAACUCCAUCAAGCACGGGCGAAUUGCUACUGGAGGUUACGAGCAACAGAAACAAAUGGGGGCAUUCGUAUUUAACUGCUAGAGGUGAAAUUCUUGGAUUUGUUAAAGACGGUCGUCUGCGAAGGCAUUUGCCAAGGAUGUUUUCAUUGAUCAAGAACGAAAGUUAAGGGAUCGAAGACGAUCAGAUACCGUCCUAGCCUUAACCGUAAACUAUGCCGACUAGGGAUUGGAGGAUGUUGCUCUUAUGGCACCUUCAGCACCUUUGGAGAAAUCAAAGUUUUUGGGUUCCGGGGGGAGUAUGGUCGCAAGGCUGAAACUUAAAGGAAUUGACGGAAGGGCACCACCAGGAGUGGAGCCUGCGGCUUAAUUUGACUCAACACGGGAAACCUCACCAGGUCCAGACAUGGAUAGGAUUGACAGACUGAGAGCUCUUUCUUGAUUUUAUGGGUGGUGGUGCAU